GUACCAAUGCUGAUGGAUGUGGUGGCGAUAGUCCUUGAAAUGCAAAGAUAAAUAAGCAUCUAUGGUUCGUCGCACACAGUCCUCCUCAAAAUCAAUAAUAUCAAAAAUACCCUGCUAAUAACAAAUAUUAGAAGAAUACCGUGCUAAUUAAAUAUUCAUAGUAUAAUUUAUUUUACCUGUAACUGGAUGUAGAAAAUCUCUCUCUAAGUGGUAUAAUGUGACGUCAAUCAAAAAAUAUCACAGCGGCAUAGCUGCGGCAUAUGAUACCCAGC
rnacentral:lncRNA from 1 species